UACGUAGGGGGCUAGCGUUGUCCGGAUUUAUUGGGCGUAAAGAGCGUGUAGGCGGCCAGGUAGGUCUGGUGUGAAAACUCGAGGCUUAACCUCGAGAUGUCAUCGGAAACCAUCUGGCUAGAGUCCGGAAGAGGAGAGUGGAAUUCCUGGUGUAGCGGUGAAAUGCGCAGAUAUCAGGAAGAACACCUAUGGCGAAGGCAGCUCGCUGGGACGGUACUGACGCUGAGACGCGAAAGCGUGGGGAGCAAACAGG
rnacentral:rRNA from 1 species